AGAGUUUGAUCAUGGCUCAGGAUGAACGCUAGCGGCAGGCUUAAUACAUGCAAGUCGUGGGGCAGCAGGGCUGUAGCAAUACAGUCGCUGGCGACCGGCAAACGGGUGCGGAACACGUACACAACCUUCCUUUAAGUGGGGAAUAGCCCGGGGAAACCCGGAUUAAUACCCCGUAUCAUAAUAGAGUGGCAUCGCUUUAUUAUUAAAGCUCCGGCGCUUGAAGAUGGGUGUGCGGCUGAUUAGGUAGUUGGCGGGGUAACGGCCCACCAAGCCUACGAUCAGUAACUGGUGUGAGAGCACGACCAGUCACACGGGCACUGAGACACGGGCCCGACUCCUACGGGAGGCAGCAGUAAGGAAUAUUGGUCAAUGGACGCAAGUCUGAACCAGCCAUGCCGCGUGGAGGAUGAAGGUCCUCUGGAUUGUAAACUUCUUUUAUCUGGGAAGAAACCCAUGGAUUCUUCUGUGGUUGACGGUACCAGAUGAAUAAGCACCGGCUAACUCCGUGCCAGCAGCCGCGGUAAUACGGAGGGUGCAAGCGUUAUCCGGAUUCACUGGGUUUAAAGGGUGCGUAGGCGGACAGGUAAGUCAGUGGUGAAAUCUCUGGGCUUAACUCAGAAACUGCCGUUGAUACUAUCUGUCUUGAAUAUCAUGGAGGUAAGCGGAAUAUGUCAUGUAGCGGUGAAAUGCUUAGAUAUGACAUAGAACACCGAUAGCGAAGGCAGCUUACUACAUGAAGAUUGACGCUGAGGCACGAAAGCGUGGGGAGCAAACAGGAUUAGAUACCCUAGUAGUCC
rnacentral:rRNA from 1 species